UAAUGUUAUAGCUCUUUUAGAAUGUAUCUAGCAGGCUUUCCAGUUUUUGCAGGAAAGCCCCC
ensembl:snRNA U7 U7 small nuclear RNA